ACAUGAUGGCAGACGAUCGCUGGUGAGUCGCGAGGCUCGCUAGAGGAAAGUCCGAACACCAUACGGCAGCAUGCCGCGUAGAAAACGCGGGCGUUGCAGUUGAAAAAUUGCGGCGACGGACAGUGUCACAGAAAACACACCGCCGGUUCUUUGAGAGAAGUGCAGGCAAGGGUGAAAAGGCGAGGUAAGAGCUCACCGCGUCCCGCUUAAGGGGGAUGGCAGGAAAAACCCCAUGCGGUGCAAGACAAAACAGGAGGAGGACAGCCGGUCCGCCAAUGCCUCGAAGAAAUUCGGGGCCGAUCUCCGGGUAUCGUCGCACCAGAUAAACCUGUAGCGGCGGUCUAUGACCGCCGGGCGUUUAUCGGCAUCUGGAGAAAUCUUGAUGAGAUAAAUGAUCGUCCCGGCUGAGAAAUCAGCCGGACAGAAUUCGGCUUACCGCCAUCACAUUAUG
rnacentral:RNase_P_RNA from 1 species